rnacentral:tRNA from 1 species
GCAGCGGUAGUUCAGUCGGUUAGAAUACCGGCCUGUCACGCCGGGGGGCGCGGGUUCGAGUCCCGUCCGCUGCG